CGAGCUGCGCCCUGACACGCUGCGGGACGGGAGCCGCGCCGGGCCGCUUUGACACUCAGUCUGCUUAGCAUUGCCAGCCAAAUACAACGAGAUGGCUCAUGGGUCUGGAAAUGAAUCAUACAAGUGAUUGCAGAAUGGAAAACUCAGAUCAGCUGAACACAAGAAUUGGGAACUAUACAUGUGCCUGAAUCUCAGGCACAUCUCUUAGUGAGAAAGAUUAUUUUGUGUUUGUUAUAAUGUAUGCCUUUUGUAAAUGCAGAAGAUUUAUUAGAUAGUUCAACUGCUCUCGUUUAGCUUAUUUAAACCAGCCAGGAUCCUUUUAAGUGAUACUGAUUUGAUUGUGAGUGUGACUUACUGUAGUUGCAUUUCAUUGCAAUAGAUACUAUUGCAUGUAUUCCUAAGCCGCCUGAGUAAAAGCACUUGCCUGUCUUUUGGUAUGUUUUAAA